CAGCAGCCACGGUAAUACGUAGGGUGCAAGCGUUAAUCGGAAUUACUGGGCGUAAAGCGUGCGCAGGCGGUUAUAUAAGUCAGAUGUGAAAUCCCCGGGCUCAACCUGGGAACUGCAUUUGAGACUGUAUGGCUAGAGUGUGUCAGAGGGGGGUAGAAUUCCACGUGUAGCAGUGAAAUGCGUAGAUAUGUGGAGGAAUACCGAUGGCGAAGGCAGCCCCCUGGGAUAACACUGACGCUCAUGCACGAAAGCGUGGGGAGCAAACAGGAUUAGAUACCCCAGUAGUCCCUGUCUCUUAUAC
rnacentral:rRNA from 1 species